rnacentral:rRNA from 1 species
ACUUCCACCCAAUGAGUCAAAUAAUUAGAAGCAAUAAUAACAUAUUCAUUGCUAGCAAUCGAUAGUGGAAAAGGUCCUAUAAACGAGUGCCGUCCCCCGAGGUUGAUGCUGCCCUGGGGGCACGGCUUGGAAAUCCAAUUUUGAACAGUCGAGGAGAUAAAUCCUUUGUAGACAACUUAAAUAGGGGAUGGGGUACUGUAAGUGGCAGAGUAGGCUUGCUACUACAAUCCACUGAGGUUCAUCCCUCUGUCCUACCAAUUU